UACGUAGGGGGGCAAGCGUUUGUCCGGAAUCAUUGGGCGUAAAGCGCGUGUAGGCGGUUCAGUAAGUCUGCUGUGAAAGUCCAGGGCUCAACCCUGGGAUGCCGGUGGAUACUGCUGGGCUAGAGUACGGAAGAGGCGAGUGGAAUUCCCGGUGUAGCGGUGAAAUGCGCAGAUAUCGGGAGGAACACCAAUUGCGAAGGCAGCUCGCUGGGACGUCACUGACGCUGAGACGCGAAAGCGUGGGGAGCAAACAGG
rnacentral:rRNA from 1 species